GACGAACGCUGGCGGCGUGCUUAACACAUGCAAGUCGAACGGAAAGGCCCUGCUUUUGUGGGGUGCUCGAGUGGCGAACGGGUGAGUAACACGUGAGUAACCUGCCCUUGACUUUGGGAUAACUUCAGGAAACUGGGGCUAAUACCGGAUAGGAGCUCCUGCUGCAUGGAGGGGGUUGGAACGUUUCGGCGGUCGGGGAUGGACUCGCGGCUUAUCAGCUUGUUGGUGGGGGAGUGGCUUACCAAGGCUUUGACGGGUACCCGGCCUGGGAGGGUGACCGGCCACAUUGGGACUGAGAUACGGCCCAGACUCCUACGUGAGGCAGCAGUGGGGAAUAUUGCACAGUGGGCGGAAGCCUGAUGCAGCAACGCCGCGUUCGGGAUGACGGCCUUCGGGUUGUAAACCGCUUUCGCCUGUGACGAAGCGUGAGUGACGGUAAUGGGUAAAGAAGCACCGGCUAACUACGUG
rnacentral:rRNA from 1 species